rnacentral:tRNA from 1 species
GGGCGGGUAGCUCAGUGGUAGAGCUCCGGUUUUACACACCGGCUGUCGCAGGUUCGACCCCUGUCCCGCCUA